ACGUAGGGUGCAAGCAUUAAUCGGAUUUAUUGGGCGUAAAGGGCGCGUAGGCGGGGAUGUAAGUCAGAUGUGAAAUCCCGGGGCUCAACCCCGGAACAGCAUUUGAAACUACAUUUCUAGAGGGUAGGCGGAGAAAACGGAAUUCCACAAGUAGCGGUGAAAUGCGUAGAUAUGUGGAAGAACACCAGUGGCGAAGGCGGUUUUCUAGCUUAUACCUGACGCUAAUGCGCGAAAGCAAGGGGAGCAAACAGGA
rnacentral:rRNA from 1 species